rnacentral:misc_RNA from 1 species
GUACCCUCAAGCUAUGCUUGGUGUUGGGUGUUUGUCCUCUCCUUUUGCGAUUGGACUCGCCUCAAAGACAUUGGCAGCCAGUGUAUUGGUCUUGAAGCGCAGCACAUUUUGCGAUUCUUGCUGAUAAUCACUAGCAUCCAGUAAGCCUCUUUAUCAC